GAUGAACGCUGGCGGCGUGCCUAAUACAUGCAAGUCGAGCGAACGGACGAGAAGCUUGCUUCUCUGAUGUUAGCGGCGGACGGGUGAGUAACACGUGGAUAACCUACCUAUAAGACUGGGAUAACUUCGGAAAACCGGAGCUAAUACCGGAUAAUAUUUUGAACCGCAUGGUUCAAAAGUGAAAGACGGUCUUGCUGUCACUUAUAGAUGGAUCCGCGCUGCAUUAGCUAGUUGGUAAGGUAACGGCUUACCAAGGCAACGAUGCAUAGCCGACCUGAGAGGGUGAUCGGCCACACUGGAACUGAGACACGGUCCAGACUCCUACGGGAGGCAGCAGUAGGGAAUCUUCCGCAAUGGGCGAAAGCCUGACGGAGCAACGCCGCGUGAGUGAUGAAGGUCUUCGGAUCGUAAAACUCUGUUAUUAGGGAAGAACAUAUGUGUAAGUAACUGUGCACAUCUUGACGGUACCUAAUCAGAAAGCCACGGCUAACUACGUGC
rnacentral:rRNA from 1 species